UACAGAGGGUGCGAGCGUUAAUCGGAUUUACUGGGCGUAAAGCGUGCGUAGGCGGCUUUUUAAGUCGGAUGUGAAAUCCCCGAGCUUAACUUGGGAAUUGCAUUCGAUACUGGGAAGCUAGAGUAUGGGAGAGGAUGGUAGAAUUCGUGAAAUGCGUAGAGAUCUGGAGGAAUACCGAUGGCGAAGGCAGCCAUCUGGCCUAAUACUGACGCUGAGGUACGAAAGCAUGGGGAGCAAACAGG
rnacentral:misc_RNA from 1 species